AUCUUGUUAGUUUAAAUGAAAAAUAUGACUUUGAAGAAGUUAAGAUUGUUUAAAGAUGU
rnacentral:tRNA from 1 species